CAACGAUGAAAAAACGCGGGAAAUCGGUAAACAUAGUGUUUCCACUUUCGUUUCGAUAAUUGUUUCCACACCAAAUAUUUGAAUUUCAUUUUUUUAUUACACCGCUGACCAUACAAAUGGUGGAAGACAGACGGCCGAUGGCCGAUUGUGAAAAAACAAGCCGAUUAAUCAGUUUUGCCGAUGUUUUGCCGAUGAUCGGCUGACCUCUAUAUAAAAUACAAUACAAGUGUAUACAUAUGGUAUGCACAAUAUCAGUUAAACAAUUAAAAAGUGAGUUUAUUUUAAGACGUUAGUAAUAGUGCAAAAGCUCCUGUAAACGUGUAGCCAUUUUAUAAUUCAAAAUAUUCAUGUUCUAUAAAAACAUAUUUUAAUUAAAGGGGUCAAAACAUUGCCAGAAUUAAAACUUUUAUGACCCCCCCCCCCUCAAUUACUCCUCAAACUCUGG